rnacentral:rRNA from 1 species
GAAAGUAAUAAAGAGCGUAUGGGGGAUGCCUAGGCUCUUGGAGGCGAAGAAGGACGUGGUAAGCUGCGAAAAGUCGCGGGGAUUUGCAAACGAGAAUUGAUCCGCGAAUAUCCGAAUGGGACAACCCGGCAGGCAGAAGGCCUGUCACCCAGCAAUGGGGGCUAACCCUCUGAACUGAAACAUCUAAGUAGGAGGAGGAGAAGAAAGAAACAUCGAUUUCCAAAGUAGCGGCGAGCGAAAUGGAAGGAGCCCAAACCGGUAUUGUUACGGCAAUGCCGGGGUUAUAGGACUGCGAGAUUCGAAGGACAAAGAACUGGAAAGAUUUGGAAAAGUCGACCAUAGAGAGUGAAAGUCUCGUACAGGUAAUUGAGUUCUAAGAUAGCAGUAUCCUGAGUAUGGCGGGACACGAGGAAUCCAGUCAGAAUUCGCCGGGACCACCCGGUAAGGCUAAAUACUCCCAAGAGACCGAUAGUGAACCAGUACUGUGAAGGAAAGGUGAAAAGAACCCCGAACAGGGGAGUGAAAAAGAACCUGAAACCAUACGCUUACAACCUGUCGGAGCGGCUUCGUGCCGUGACGGCGUGCCUAUUGAAUAAUGAGCCUACGAGUUACUAAUCACUGGCGAGGUUAAGUGCUAGGAAGCACGGAGCCGAAGCGAAAGCGAGUCUGAACAGGGCGUUUAGUCAGUGGUUGUAGACGCGAAACCUUGCGAUCUACCCUUGAGCAGGAUGAAGGUUGGGUAAAGCCAACUGGAGGUCCGAACGAAUAAGCGUUGAAAAGCUUCUCGAUGACUUGAGGGUAGGAGUGAAAGGCCAAUCAAGCUGGGAAAUAGCUCGUACUCCCCGAAAUGCCUUUAGGGGCAGCGUUGUAAUAAAGAGUCUACUGGAGGUAGAGCUACUGAUUGGAUGCGGGGGCUUCACCGCCUACCAAAUCCCGACAAACUCCGAAUGCCAGUAGUAUGAUUUACAGCAGUGAGCCACCGGGUGCUAAUGUCCGGUGACAAAAGAGGAACAACUCAGACCAGCAACUAAGGUCCCCAAGCGUAUGCUAAGUUGAACUAACGAUGUUUUGUUGCAUAGACAGCUAGGAUGUUAGCUUGGAAGCAGCUAUUCAUUCAAAGAGUGCGUAACAGCUCACUAGUCGAGCGACAAAGCGUGGAUAAUAAACGGGCAUCAAGCAUACCACCGAAGUUCUGGGCGCGAAAGCGCGGUAGGGGAGCAUUCCAUUCAGCGUUGAAGCAGCGUCGUGAGAUGUUGUGGAGCGUAUGGAAAAGCAAAUGUAGGCAUGAGUAACGAUAAUGCGGGAGAGUAACCCGCACACCGCAAGACCAAGGUUUCCUGAUCAACGCUAAUCGGAUCAGGGUUAGUCGGGUCCUAAGGGUAAGCCGAACGGCGAUCUCGAUGGAUAAUCGGUUAAUAUUCCGAUACUGACAUAUACCUCGAUGGAGAGACGAAAUCGCGUAAGUACCGCCUCCUGACGGAAUAGGAGGUUAAAGGGCGUAUGUAUAGGGGCAGAUUAAGAGUCAGUCCUUGCUGAAACCCGACAGUACAGAGAGCCUACGGGCAAUUUGAUAGUGUACCCAAGCAUGUUUCCGAGAAAAUCUUCUAAGUUAUAGUAUAUGUCACCCGUACCGUAAACCGACACAGGUGGUCGAGGAGAGUAUCCUAAGGUGCUCGAGUGAAUCACGGUUAAGGAACUAGGCAAAUUAACCCCGUAACUUCGGGAAAAGGGGUCCCUACGCGAGUAGGGCGCAGCGAAGAGGUCCAGGCGACUGUUUAUCAAAAACACAGGGCUCUGCAAAUUCGAAAGAAGAAGUAUAGGGCCUGACACCUGCCCGGUGCUGGAAGGUUAAGAGGGGAUGUCAUCGCAAGAGAAGCAUUGAAUCGAAGCCCCAGUAAACGGCGGCCGUAACUAUAACGGUCCUAAGGUAGCGAAAUUCCUUGUCGGGUAAGUUCCGACCUGCACGAAUGGUGUAACGAUC